UAGUCAUAUGGAUCAUAGCAUUUUCCUUGACAUUUCCAGCUUCAUGCCUGGCGUUUUAAUCUAAGGAGCAGGCAUCUGUAAUGACUCUGAUUUCAUUUCUACCCCAUUUCUGAACGGGCAGCACGAGUUGUUUAUAAUCCACCAUGAUCCGUUUUAUAUUGCUCCAGAAUAGGCAAGGGAAGACGCGUCUUGCAAAAUACUAUGUUCCACUUGAGGAGCCUGAGAAGCACAAAGUUGAAUACGAGGUUCACCGAUUGGUCGUAAAUAGGGACCCAAAAUUCACAAUUUUUGUUGUGGUCAGUAGCUCUUUGAGUUUUUACCCCCAUUUUUCUUAUUUGUGAAUGGAGAUUAAUCAUGUGUUUCAUGCAUUUCCCUUGUUGUUUUCUACCUUUGUUGAAUU